AUUCAUGUGCUGACCUAAAUCACUUUCAGAAGAUCACUGGACAGUCAGAGAUCUCUGUUGCAUUUCUUCUCAGCUCACAACAGGACGCCACCAUGCCAACGGUCAAAAGCAAGAAGAAGAAGGUGAAGAAGGAGAUGAGCGAAGCGGAGGAGCAGAGAGAAGUUGCUUUGGAGGUGGAGAUGGAGAACAUGACCAACAGGAGCAACUCUGACAGCAGAGACCCACUGACCCCAGAUCUGCAGGAGCCAGCACCACAGAAGAUGAAGAAAAGGAAGAAGACGUCAACAAUAGAUCAGGAAGUGGAGCGAACUGAGUUGCCAAACGGUAACACCUCAGAUGGAGCGAUGGAGGGGGAAGAAACCAGUGUUGCUGUCACCCGAAGAACAAAAAGGAAGAGGUAAACGCAGUAAACUGAUGUGGUGCCAAAAGCACGAGAAGAGCCAAAGCUAGAUAUUAAAGUCCCCUCCCAUGAAAAUCCUCUUUUUUGAGUUUUUAACAUGUCUGU
rnacentral:lncRNA from 1 species